UACAGAGGGUGCAAGCGUUGUUCGGAGUUAUUGGGCGUAAAGCGCGUGUAGGCGGCUUUGCAAGUCGGGUGUGAAAGCCCUCAGCUCAACUGAGGAAGUGCGCCCGAAACUGCAGAGCUUGAGUGCCGGAGAGGGUGGCGGAAUUCCCCAAGUAGAGGUGAAAUUCGUAGAUAUGGGGAGGAACACCGGUGGCGAAGGCGGCCACCUGGACGGCAACUGACGCUGAGACGCGACGGCGUGGGGAGCAAACAGG
rnacentral:rRNA from 1 species